GGGGCUAGAUCCAACGACCUUGGGAUCAUGACCUGAGCUGAAAUGAAGAGUUGGGUGCCCAACUGACUAAGCCACCCAAGUGCCCAUAACUCAUUUUAAGAUAGGAAAAUGGAGUCUGAGUGAGAGUAACCUCAAGUAGAUGUAUAGAUAAACAUCAGUAUUCAAGUUUUUUCUUUUUUUGUUGGGUUUUUUUUUUUUUUUUUUUUUGGACAGAAGUCAGUUCUGUGUGAGACGUAACGGAUGCUCACUGCAUGCAGAUUGAUGAUGAAUGCCGGGCUGGAUAUCACAACUCAAAAAUUCUUUACCUUGGGCUGGAAAUGCUGCAUCUGUCCUGUUAGAGCAGUCCACUUUACUUUGAGAAAAUGGAAUCUCUUCAGAUACUACAAGUGGCCAGGAUGAUAAGGGAUUUGAAAAUCAUCCCAUAUAAACAUAAUAGAGGUAACAGAAUAUUUAGCUCACAGAGAAACAGACAUAUGAGAAGGUUCAACAGAUUUUCAUAUUUUUGAAAGAUUAUUGUACAUCUAUUUUCUGCAUAUUUCGUUAUAAGUAGUUCGGAAGGUAGUGUAAGUAUGAACUUUAGAAGUUAUAGGAAGUUGAGUUUGGCAACUAUGAGGAAGCAAAAACCUGGUAACAAGUAGAAUUGCUUGAACAACAAGAUCCCCUUUCUGACAGGUGCUUUAUGCUCUUUCAUUGUGUUCAGAACAGAGUCUAGAUGAACACUUUGUACAAAUUUUACUUGAGAUUCUUUGGUCUGGAAAGUUUGAAGGUGAUCUUUUAAGUUUAUCUCUGAAUACUUUGUAAUUCCAUGAAAGAUCUCACAUGUAAGUCCUGGGUCUGCUGAUCAAGGGCUUACUAUUUGUCCAUUUUCCCUUGCACCGUGAGCUGUGUAGAAGUAAGCUUUGUGUGAUCUCACUCUGUGGUCAUGGCCACAGUGCUAGCACAGACUACUGCACCUGUGUUGCCAUUCAUUCAUUUGUUCCUCCAGUGAAUAUUUUAUUAUGCUUCUACUAUGUCCCAAACAUUGUUUUAGGGAGUGAGGAUAAAACAAUGAAGUAAACAGUCCGUCAUGAAUUCAAUUCUUGGGGAGUGAGGCAGACAGUGUAGAUGUCAACAGCUAAAUGUGUAUCAGGUGGUGAGUGCUAUAGAGAAAAAUGAAAACAUUGAAGGUAACUGAAGACUGAUCACGGGGGAUGAUUUGUAAUAAGAUGCAUAGGCCUUUCUAGCAGUGAGAUAAUGGCUCUAAGACCUGAAAGACGUGGAAAGAGGUAGUGGAGUCAGCCAAGCAGAUGUCUAGAUGACAUCAGUCCAGGCACGUGGGUAGCUAGUACAAAGGUCUGAAGGAGUGUGUUUUUGUGUUGAAGUAAACACAAAACAGUAGAGAGGUACAAUGAAGAGGUCAUUGUGUCUGAGGUAGAAAAGCCAUAGUGAGAGAGGUAUGGGAAGGGAUGUGACCAGAGAGGCUGAUGGUUGCUAGGAGAAAGGGAGGGGCCAGAUACCGUGGGUCGUUGUCAUCAUUUUGCUUGCUUUCUUUGGGGAAGCCUUUGCAGAACUCCUGUUCACGGGGGAGAAAGAGGCAUUGAAUGGCCAGCCAAGUGUAAAUGAAGAAGAGCCUUGGAUUUGUGAUGGGGAAGCAGGUCUUUGCCAUCCAGCACCUGGAUGUCCUUCAGCACGUUCUUCUGGGUCUUGAUGGUUUUUAAUUUUAGGAUUGAAAUAGGUGACCUAUAAAGAUCUUUAUGCUUUAAAAAUUCCUUGAAGAUCUGGGAAAUACCAAAUAAAAUCUCUAAGAAUGGAAAACACUGUUGAAAUAAAAUACGGAAUGGAGAGGUUAAGAAGCAGAUAAGUUGUAGCUAAAGAGGGGAUUGGUGAAUGGAAGAAUAUUUGUAAAAAUUACCUAGAAGGCAAUACAGAGAGGAAAAGAAAUGGGAAUAGAGAACAUUGGGUGAUUGAAUGUACAUGUUUUCAGACUUUGCAAAAGGGAGAGAACAGAGAUAAUAAGGGAGAAUCAUGUUGGCUGAGAAUUUGUAGAGCUGGCUAACCACCUGAACUUAAAGAUUCAGGUUAUACAAAGUAUCCCAGGUAGGAUAAAGAAAAAUAUGAAAAUGGCAGUAUUUGUCAAGAAAAUCUGUGUGUGUGUGUGUGUGUGUGUGUGUGUGUGUGUGUGUGUGUGUGUGGCAUUUUGGGACUAAAAACUGGAGUUGGUGACAGCAGCUAAGAGUUGGGUUGUCAUAGUGUAGUAGGGUCACUUGAAUUAAUGGUAUAAUGAUGAAAAUGCAGUUGGUACACAUUUUAAAUCAAAUUCCAAUGUGAUAAAUAAAUGAUCUGAUAUGAUGGUAAAAGAAAAAAACUGAAACAGUGACUUUCAUUCUGGAUCUUAUGACUAGAGCAACUGAAUUAAGAGAACCUAGGAAGUUGAGACGAAAUAAUUGUGGGGAAAAGAGAUGCUUCACUUUGGAUAAAUCAAGUUCAGGGGGUUAGUGGCAGCAUAUGGAAAUGAAAAUUUCAUGAGGAGGAUGCAUCUUUAUAAACAUUGAAAUUUUUUUCUGGUGUUUAAUCCGAAGAAAAAUAUAUUACACAACCCCAAAGUUUGUUUCGUUACCUAUCCAGAGUUUAAGAUACUACUUUCAGUGGAGGGUUUCAGCGUGUUCUCUGUUUUCUGUAUGUAUUGCAAUGAUGCAGUGAAAAGGGGACAAUACAGUGUAAGUUCAGCAACUAAAUUAAUUGUGAAUUAAAUACCUGGAAUUAGAAGUUUCUUUUAAACAGAAAUUAACAAUGGCAAGAGUACAAGAACUAAUACUUGUAGAAAUUCUUGGACUUGGGCACAGAUAGUUUGGUUUUACUCUGCACUAUGUAUUUCUGAAGCUAUUGUACUGUUACCUGCCCAGGUUACUAAUUUAGCAAUGGAACAGUUUACCAUGAUGGAAAGAUAUUUCAGCAGAGCCUCAUGAAAAUUUUAAAAAGCUUAGGACUGCCUCAGAUUUCAGCUAGGUGAAAAAACAAAACCCACCAACCAACCAACCAACCAA